CAGCCGCCGCGGGAAUACGAGGGGGGCAAGCGUUGUUCGGAAUUAUUGGGCGUAAAGGGUGCGUAGGCGGUUUGGCAAGUCUUGUGUGAAAUCUUCGGGCUCAACCCGAAGCCUGCACGAGAAACUGCCGGGCUUGAGUAUUGGAGAGGUGAGUGGAAUUUCCGGUGUAGCGGUGAAAUGCGUAGAUAUCGGAAGGAACACCUGUGGCGAAAGCGGCUCACUGGACAAUAACUGACGCUGAUGCACGAAAGCUAGGGGAGCAAACAGGAUUAGAUACCCCUGUAGUCCCUGUCUCUUAUAU
rnacentral:rRNA from 1 species